GAGAUCGAAGCCCAGGUGGCUGAUAUGUUGGCACAGGGGAUUAUCCGGAUCAGUCGUAGCCCGUUUGCCUCAUCGGUGCUGCUGGUUCAAAAGAAAGAUGGAGAGUGGCGUUUUUGCAUUGACUACCGACACUUAAAUGCCAUCACGGUCAAGAACAGAUAUCCGCUUCCGAUCAUCGAUGAAUUGUUGGAUGAGUUACAAGGGGCAAAGUGGUUCACAAGCCUUGAUUUGCGGUCCGGGUACCACCAGAUACGCAUGAAACCUUCAGAUGAAGCAAAAACCGCUUUCAGGACACAUCACGGCCAUUUCGAAUUCAAAGUGAUGCCUUAUGGAGUCACGGGGGGACCCAGUACUUUCCAAGAGGGCAUGAACACCAUGUUCACUCCUUUGCUCAGACAUGGGGUUCUUGCAUUCAUGGAUGAUAUCUUAUGUUACAGCAAGACCUUGGAAGUGUUGGGGAACGUAGUAAUUUCAAAAAAAUUCCUACGCACACGCAAGAUCAUGGUGAUGAUAUAG
rnacentral:rRNA from 1 species